rnacentral:rRNA from 1 species
GACGAACGCUGGCGGCGCGCUUAACACAUGCAAGUCGAACGGAAAGGCCUGCUUUCCCUUGUGGAUUGCGGGUACUCGAGUGGCGAACGGGUGAGUAACACGUGAGUGAUCUGCCCCCAACUUGGGUAUAAGCCUGGGAAACUGGGUCUAAUUCCCGAUAGGACUGCAGGGUGGUGCCUGUGGUGGAAAACGAUUUUCUAGUGGUUGGGGAUGAGCUCGCGGCCUAUCAGCUUGUUGGUGGGGUAAUGGCCUACCAAGGCGGCGACGGGUAGCCGGCCGGAGAGGGUGGACGGCCACAUUGGGACUGAGAUACGGCCCAGACUCCUACGGGAGGCAGCAGUGGGGAAUAUUGCACAAUGGGCGGAAGCCUGAUGCAGCGACGCCGCGUGGGGGAUGACGGCCUUCGGGUUGUAAACUCCUUUCGACCGCGAGGAAGCCACCUGGUUGGAAGGGUGGUGACGGUAGUGGUAGAAGAAGCACCGGCUAACUACGUG